rnacentral:lncRNA from 1 species
AUCAACCUCUGUUAACUAAGAGGUAAAGAAGAAUCUCAAAAUGAUCAAAACAGAAUAUGAAAAAUAAAUUUCGGAAUGAAAUCGAGCCCAUUGAAUGCAUAAUAUGUCCUUAAGAAAAGUAUUCCCUUCGAGUACCCAAAGUGUUGGAGUAUUAUCCUCCAUAGAAUGACUUAACUCAUCAGAGUAUCGGUACCUAAAACACUGGUGAACUAUGAACCACCUAAUGAUUGUAAAUCAUAUUAGAAUUUAUUUGUGCAGAAGAAGAAUUUUAGAAAAUUUUAUUAAGGAAAAAUUCCGGGAUC